GAGAGAGAGAGAGAGAGAGAGAGAGAGAGAGAGAGAGAGAUACACACACAGAGAGAGGGAGGUAGAGGACAGUAUGUAAUCACCCACACCUACGACCACACUCACCUACUGUACCUGAACCACCCUGGACACGAGAUGAUAGCCAAGAAGAAGCGACGUGCGGAGAAUGGCAGUGGUGAAGGAGGAUGCGAGGAUGGUAGCAGAACCGGGAUGACGAAGGAGGAAGAGGAGGCUAAACUGCGACAGCUCUUCUCUGCCGAGGACUACGAGGAGACACGCUGUGGCUUGGGUCCCUGCACUCCUUCGUGGCUGCAGAAGUACGCCACGAAGGAGGUGUACAUGCUGGUGUACUGCCUGGUGGGGUUGACGCAGGGCAUGUUCUUCACCUACAGCGUCUCCGUUAUCUCCACUAUUGAGAAGAGAUUUAAGCUGAAGAGUAAAGAAACUGGUAUCAUCCUCGCGGGCAAUGACAUCUCCCAAGUGUUGCUCGCCAUCUUCCUGAGUUACUACGGCACCUUCGGACACCGCCCCCGCUGGCUUGCCGUGGGCGCGCUUUUCACUGCCGCCUCCUGCUUCACCGCCUCCCUCCCGCACUUCUUCUACGGAGCGGGAACGGGUGCGGAGGCUGUAUUGGCGGCAGUGUCAGCUUCAAACGAGACAGGUUCUAAGUCCGCGGAGGAACUGUGCCACACGGGAAGUAAGGAAGACUGCAGCGACGACUACCGCGGCUCGGAGUACGUGGGGGUCAUGAUCUUGUUGUUCCUGUCGCAGUUCUUCGUAGGCAUCUCCAUCAGCCUCUUCUACAGCAUCGGUGUCUCCUACCUCGACGACAACAUCAACAAGAAGACCUACCCGCUUUACUAUACCCUGACCAUCCUGCUGCGCAUCCUGGGGCCCGUGCUGGGGUUCAUGUUGGGGGCGCGCAUGCUGUCCUACUGGAUCGACCCUUCCAAGGAACCCAAUAUCUCCAAGAAGGACCCGCGGUGGCUGGGCGCGUGGUGGCUCGGCCUCGUGUUCCUGGGCGGGGCUCUCGUGGUCUCUGCCAUCCCUCUCUUCUUCUUCCCACGUAAACUGCCGGCAACGCUGAGACGAGAAGGCAAGAGGUAUCUGCGCCAGGCCGAGAAGAACCGAAAGGCAGGAGGUAACAAGAGCCCGAUGCACUACCGCACCCUUCACAACAAGAAGAAGGAGCAAGCCAAACCCACCAUCAAGAACCUCGGCAAGGCCCUGAAGCGGCUGUUCACCAAUAAGAUCUGGUUCGGCUAUCUGUUCAGCAGCACCGUCACCCUGCUGGCACUCUCCGGCUACUGGAACUUCAAGCCCAAGUACCUGGAGAACCAGUUCAGGAAGAGCGCCACGGAGGCCAACUUUUACACGGGUCUGGCGAGCCUCGUGGUGUCCGUGGUGGGGUCACUGGUGAGUGGGUCGGUGAUGCGAUGGGGGCGCCCCGGGCCGAGGCUGGUCACUGGCUACAAUAUCUUCAUCACCCUCGUCACCUGCGUGGGCUACAUCAUCCUCAUGUUCCUAGGCUGUCCCAAGCUGGACGUGGUGGGCCCGGUGCAGGGAGCCCUGCCACCCGCGUGUUCCUCUGACUGCGAAUGCUCUGCUAAGUUCACACCAAUCUGCUCUCAGGACGGACAGACCCUUUUCUUCUCCCCAUGCUACGCUGGCUGCCUGGCGGACAAUAUUACGGCAAAACCUGUGGAGUAUAAUCAGUGCAAAUGCAUAAACAUCAACGCAAAGCCAGACAACACGUCACACAUGGCCUGGCCCCCGCCGCCCUCCACGCUGCCGCCGCACUCCAGCGACAUCCUGAUGCCGUCCGAGGAGUGGGGCACGGCUCAGCGUGGGUACUGUCCCGAGCCCUGCAACGCCUUCUUCUACUACCUAAUGACACAAAUCAUCAUCAAGACCAUCUCCUCCACGGGACACAUCGGCUCCAGCAUCGUCCUAUUGAGGGCAGUGUCUGAGGAGGACAAAGGCUUAUCUCUGGGCACCAUAACAGUGUUCAUCAGCCUUUUCGCCUUUAUUCCUGCACCGAUCAUCAUGGGCGCUAUCAUUGACUCGGCAUGCGUGGUGUGGGAGACGUCCUGUGGUGUGACGGGCAACUGUUGGCUCUACGAUUCUGAUCAUUUCCGUAGAGUUCUGCAUCUGGUCCCUGCAGUGUUGCUGUUCAUCUCUGUUGGUGGAGAGUUGAUCGUCUUCCUGAACAGUCACAAGCUCGACCUGUACGGUUUGAAAGACGACGAGGUGGAGGACGACGAAGAGGAAGACGGGAAGAAGAAGCAGGACGAGGAGGAGAACUCAGAGGAAGGGAUCCCGCUUAAGACAGACUCGCUCAUGGGAAGUGUGAUAACAUAGCGAAGGAGAGAUGAAGCAACUCAGGUAUAAAUAGGUGUAUAUAGGCAGGCAGUCGUUUUUCACACACACACACACACACACACACACACACACACACACACACACACACACACUAUCUAUGUACC
rnacentral:misc_RNA from 1 species